rnacentral:rRNA from 1 species
GACGAACGCUGGCGGCGUGCUUAACACAUGCAAGUCGAACGGAAAGGCCCUGCUUUUGUGGGGUGCUCGAGUGGCGAACGGGUGAGUAACACGUGAGUAACCUGCCCUUGACUUUGGGAUAACUUCAGGAAACUGGGGCUAAUACCGGAUAGGAGCUCCUGCUGCAUGGUGGGGGUUGGAAAGUUUCGGCGGUUGGGGAUGGACUCGCGGCUUAUCAGCUUGUUGGUGGGGUAGUGGCUUACCAAGGCUUUGACGGGUAGCCGGCCUGAGAGGGUGACCGGCCACAUGGGGCUUGAGAUACGGCCCAGACUCCUACGGGAGGCAGCGGUGGGGAAUAUUGCACAAUGGGCGGAAGCCUGAUGCAGCAACGCCGCGUGCGGGAGGACGGCCUUCGGGUUGUAAACCGCUUUCGCCUGUGACGAAGCGUGAGUGACGGUAAUGGGUAAAGAAGCACCGCCUAACUACGU